UCUCAGCUCAGAAGCUUUUGGCCCUAGGAGCAUUCUCAUCUUUUUUAAAGAAAAACUUCUAUCCAAUUGAGUCGAAAGCAUCAUCUCGCAACUUUUAGUUGUAAAACGUUUUUCCGAUUUUUACUAGCAAAUUACAUAAAAUUGAAGUGUCCUAUAAUAAAAGUUACUUAAUAAUUAUUAAAUAAACCAACCUAAUACAUGAUAUAAUACAUCGUACUACUAUGAAUCCGAGAAUAUACCGGAUGGCCUCGCAAUUAAGAUUUUAUCGAGAUACUUAGUAUUGAUGCAAAUAAAUUCUCCUCAAAACAAUGGGCGCCUGUAUCAGAGUCAUUCUGGCACAAUGUACCAUGUCUGCACACGGGCACGUGUGUGCGUGCGUCCUCACAGGCUGCAACGUACGUGUACUUGGCGUGUUCUACGACGGCACGUACGACGUACGCAAGGGGAUGACGAGCAUACAUGCACGCAUAAACUUGACUCCAAAUUAACUACUGCACCUUGUUUUUUUCCCAAAUGGAUAGAGAAUAAUACUAGGAAAUCGCAAUACGCAGCAACUUGGAUUGGAUAUUCUCUUCAGUUUGAAAGCACGAGCUCGAGCUUAGCGUGCCCGACACUAUAAAACCCCCUGGUGUGAGGGCUCUUUUUCCAGCAAGAACACCAAGUCACAAGCCACUCCACAGUAGCUAGUGUUGUGAGGUUGAACCACCCCAGCAAAUCAUCUGACAGGCGACCGAAGAAACAAGAAAAUGGCAUCGAUCGAAAGUGAGAGGAAUGAGGAAGUCGUUGGGCAGCUCAGUUCGGAGCAGAAAGCACGCUUAGAUGAGGUCAUGAAGCAAGCUGCGCUGUCGUUGCAGUCUGACGAACUUCUUAACAAGGCAGCGGCAGGCAAAUUACAGGCCGGCAAUUACUAUUUUUACGUACAAGGUGAUUUGUACAAUUAUACAAAGGGACCCCUGACUACUACUACGGAUGUACAGCAACAAUAUUCAGGAUCCGUUCUCAUUGACUAUACCAACCCUCUUAAGCCCAGCAGCAACAAUAAGGCCGGCACCGGCAGUUUUACCAUGGCAGGCGACGGCAGUGUUGAGGCAGCUGUGGUAUAUUUUGGCAAGAACGACAAAGGUGAUCAGGACUGUGCAUGGCUCAUUGGUUUUAACAUAAACACAACGACUAAACCCGAAAAGUUGCAGGUUUAUGUGUUCUGCGGCCCUUUAAUUAAUUCUGUGAUUAAUUUCAUCAACCCCAACUGGGCAGAAAUUAAAACAAAGAUAGAACGCGGUGGGCAAGUCGGUUUUUACAAGGACGACCAGACUGUUACAAAUGUCUAUGCCGGCGUUGCUGCUACCGACCCCAGUAUGCCAGGCAGGUAUUCUGUUUCUAUAGCCUUCGAUCUGUGAAAUACGCACUUUCAUCGAUAAUAAUGUACUAGCUAGAUCCAGCGGAUCAUUAGCUAAUGUGUGUGCUCUAUAUAUGUGUGCUACUAUGUAUGACCAAGGGCAUUCGCUUGUUCCCCUGUAAUUAAGAACAUGCAAGGUACUGUCUUGUGUGUUUCUGUGUGUAAUGUUUACAUGUACUACACCCCUAUGAUAAAUAAAACUGCCCUUCUAUACGUAAA